AGAGUUUGAUCCUGGCUCAGGAUGAACGCUGGCGGUAUGCUUAACACAUGCAAGUCGAACGGAGUACUUAGGUACUUAGUGGCGGACGGGUGAGUAACGCGUGAGAAUCUGCCUUCAGGUUCGGGACAACCACUGGAAACGGUGGCUAAUACCGAAUGUGCAGCAAUGUGAAAAAUUUAUUGCCUGAAGAUGAGCUCGCGUCUGAUUAGCUAGUAGGUGUGGUAAGAGCGCACCUAGGCGACGAUCAGUAGCUGGUCUGAGAGGAUGAUCAGCCACACUGGGACUGAGACACGGCCCAGACUCCUACGGGAGGCAGCAGUGGGGAAUUUUCCGCAAUGGGCGAAAGCCUGACGGAGCAAUACCGCGUGAGGGAGGAAGGCUCUUGGGUUGUAAACCUCUUUUCUCAAGGAAGAAAAAAAUGACGGUACUUGAGGAAUAAGCAUCGGCUAACUCCGUGCCAGCAGCCGCGGUAAUACGGAGGAUGCAAGCGUUAUCCGGAAUGAUUGGGCGUAAAGCGUCCGCAGGUGGCUAUGUAAGUCUGCUGUUAAAGAGUCUGGCUCAACCAGAUAAAGGCAGUGGAAACUACAUGGCUAGAGUGCGUUCGGGGCAGAGGGAAUUCCUGGUGUAGCGGUGAAAUGCGUAGAGAUCAGGAAGAACACCGGUGGCGAAAGCGCUCUGCUAGGCCGCAACUGACACUGAGGGACGAAAGCUAGGGGAGCGAAUGGGAUUAGAUACCCUAGUAGUCC
rnacentral:rRNA from 1 species